GUGCUUGGUUCAGCAGCACAUAUACUGAAAUUGGAACAAUACAGAGAAGAUUAGCACGGCCCCUGCACAAGGAUAACAUGCAAAACUAUGAGAUGGAGAGGGGAGAUUU